ACCUAUACAACUUUCAGCAACGGAUCUCUUGGCUCUCGCAUCGAUGAAGAACGCAGCGAAAUGCGAUAAGUAAUGUGAAUUGCAGAAUUCAGUGAAUCAUCGAAUCUUUGAACGCACCUUGCGCUCCUUGGUAUUCCGAGGAGCAUGCCUGUUUGAGUGUCAUUAAAUUCUCAACCCUCACCAACUU
rnacentral:rRNA from 1 species